rnacentral:rRNA from 1 species
AUUGAACGCUGGCGGCAUGCCUUACACAUGCAAGUCGAACGGUAACAGGUCUUCGGAUGCUGGCGAGUGGCGAACGGGUGAGUAAUACAUCGGAACGUGCCUAGUAGUGGGGGAUAACUACUCGAAAGAGUGGCUAAUACCGCAUGAGAUCUACGGAUGAAAGCAGGGGAUCGCAAGACCUUGUGCUACUAGAGCGGCCGAUGGCAGAUUAGGUAGUUGGUGGGGUAAAAGCUUACCAAGCCGACGAUCUGUAGCUGGUCUGAGAGGACGAUCAGCCACACUGGGACUGAGACACGGCCCAGACUCCUACGGGAGGCAGCAGUGGGGAAUUUUGGACAAUGGGCGAAAGCCUGAUCCAGCAAUGCCGCGUGCAGGAUGAAGGCCUUCGGGUUGUAAACUGCUUUUGUACGGAACGAAAAGCCCCGGGUUAAUACCCUGGGGUCAUGACGGUACCGUAAGAAUAAGCACCGGCUAACUACGUGCCAGCCGCCGCAGUAA